GGUUAGGUCUCAGAGAAUUUUCCUUUGUCCUUUAUUGCUUUUUCCUUUAGUUUUUGAAAGUUUUGGUCUACAGGGCUGAAGAGCAGUAAGAUCAAGAUGGUAAUGGGAGUGAGAGUUAAGGUCUCAGACAGUGUAGACACAUCUUCCUCCCUGAAAGCUGGCCCUGCACAGCAAGCCUGAUGAAGCCAGCAAAGCUGCUCUUCAAUACUUACCCUUUCCCCACUUCUGAGGCCUUUUUCCUUUCAGUGACUCCCUUUGUUCCCCCAGUAAUGCUGCUUUGUCUUCAGGAUAAAAGAGGAUGGGAGGUGUGGAACCCAGAGAGCCGGAGAAGGAGUAUUUGGGACAGGAGACCAGACAAGAUUUAUUGCCUCUUCUGACACUGACCUUGUAGGUGGAAAAGUCAUCAUUGUGCACAUGAGUCAUCAUUACUCCUCAGAGCUGCAGAAAUGCUGGCCAGUGGAAUUUUUUUGCUGUGGAGAGAAGGUUGGAUAAGUCACUUUUUAACUGUAACUUCUCAGUAUAGGACAUCAAUCGUCCAACUUUAUGUUUGAGGAAGUUAUAAGGUUAAAGGGAAGAAAUCUUAUGGGCCAGGGUGGGGAGAUAAGGCUGAAUAUGGACAGGGGGUUAGUGGGGAAUAAGCCCUGUUGAUGUCCUCUCUUCAAAAGGGAGCAGUAGGGCCUAAGACCCUAGUCACUUA
rnacentral:lncRNA from 1 species